CCCUGAGUGGCGCAAAUGGUUAACGCACUCGGCUGCUAACUGGAAGGUUGGAGGUUCGAGUCCACCCAGAGGCA
rfam:Loxodonta africana unplaced genomic scaffold scaffold_14, whole genome shotgun sequence.